rnacentral:rRNA from 1 species
UACGUAGGGUGCGAGCGUUACUCGGAAUUACUGGGCGUAAAGCGUGCGCAGGCGGUCGUGCAAGACAGAUGUGAAAUCCCCGGGCUUAACCUGGGAACUGCAUUUGUGACUGUACGGCUGGAGUGCGGCAGAGGGGGAUGGAAUUCCGCGUGUAGCAGUGAAAUGCGUAGAUAUGCGGAGGAACACCGAUGGCGAAGGCAAUCCCCUGGGCCUGCACUGACGCUCAUGCACGAAAGCGUGGGGAGCAAACAGG